GGCCGGUAACGGAAAGGCCGCCCUGUGGGUCCGACCGGUGCGGGAGCCUCUGAGCGCAGGGCGGCAAGUGUUUAAGGAAGGGAAAGUUAACGUAGGGCUUGUGUGAAGUCACACGAAUCCGGUCUGGUCAUCGUCGGUUUGAGGAGGUCAGUGUGUGCUUGCUAUGGAUAAGGACAAGCAGUGAGCCUGUGAUGUAGAGAGAGCGAAGGCACUUUGAUCUCGGCUCCCCGUUCUCCUGAACAGGUUGGAAGCCAGGACUGACUUCUGGAUGCCAAGUUAGAAAUAAUUGCCUGAGUGAAAACUCAGGGAGGAGUGCGUUCACGCAGCUGCCAUGAAGGCUCCGGCCAGAGGAGAUACAGCCCUGAGCAGAUUUCAUUUUCUUUUUCAUGUUCUCUGGUCUUACUAAGCCUAAUAUCUACACAGACGUGUAUUUAUUUACAGACAUAGAACACAUCCUCAUCAAACGAUCUUUGGGCACAUGUUCAAAAGUAGUAAAAAUGGCCACUACAGCUACUAAUGCUUAGCAGUUUUUAUCAGAGGCACUAAAAGUGCUUGGACAUGAUAAGCUGCUACAAUCUCCUUGUCACAGACGUGGAAAGGAAGUCACAGAGCAGUUAGAUGAAGAACCCUAGUUUAUAGACUUUACCAUAAAAGACUUCUCCAAAUCUGAAGGCAACUCAGUAGCAUGGGUGAAAUUAAAAAGAGUAGCUGGCUCUAGUCCUUUGCUCUAACCACCAUCCCAAAUGCAUCUCACAUGACCCACCACUCUACUCAUUUCUAACGUACAGCUCCCAACAUAAGUUUCCGGUAUGUAAUGCACCAAAACAUCUUUUUAAAUGAUGGCAAAUGUAGCCAUUACUCAAGUCUGCUCUUGAGUGAUAGCUUUAUCUGUUCUGUCCCUAUUGCCAGAAGGAUACAGUGUGGUCUUGCAGCCUCUCUGGACAAGGUAAUAACAGAGAGUUGCUUCAUCAAAGCUCUUCCCUGGAGGGAUGAAAUCUAAAAUCUUUGUUUUUAGUGGAACAGACGACUAUCUCCAAAGGCAUAGCAGGCGUCAGAAUACAAUGCUUCUGAGCUCUGUGCACCAAAGGUCAGGCAGUGUUUAAUCCUGGGGGUGACCUCAUGGACCUCAAGAGAAUUUCAUCAAGGACAUAGUUAGUCUGUAUUUUGCAAUAAUCUGUAGGAAAUAAGCUUGGCAUUUCAGAGAUAAAAUUCACAGGCAGUACCAUUUCAGUCACCCAGUGUGGUUUGUAAAGGGGAUUUCUCUGGCUGUUUAUUGCUAAAACAGGCUGAUGUUCAAAAUUGAAACUUUCAGUCCUUACUCAGGCAAAACUUGCACAGAAUCCGGUAGGAACACUGCCUAGAGCAGAGCAAAAUAAAAGCCGGAGGAGCUGGUGCUGUGUUAUUUGGCUCAUGCUGCAAAACUUCAGUAAAUUUGUCACUAGCAAGUAAAGUGAGCAGUUUUGACAGCUUUUAUUGUAUUGAAUUACAGUGACAAAUAGGGGCAUUGAUUUGCAGAACCUUUGAAAGCAUUGUAAAUACAAUCCUAAUGAAAAAAAUGUUUCUUUUUAUUUGACAGAACUCCACUGCUCUUUCUGGUGCACACCCUGGGUGCACCAACAAAAAUAAAAGACCUGGUUAUUUGAAGCAAAAUUCCUGAAAUAUUGUUCUCUAAAUCUCUAAGCUUUCACUUAUUACUUUUUAUUCUGAGAAGUAUUCGAUGAUUUUACUGUCCACAAAAGCUGUAACAGUAAUAAAAAAAUAAAAUUGUUAGUGCUAAGACAGAA